rnacentral:tRNA from 1 species
UGAGCUGUGGUGUAAUGGUAACACAGCAGAUUUUGGUUCUGUCGUUCCAGGUUCGAGUCCUGGCAGCUCAACCA